GAGGCAGAAAGAAUUCUGGGAUAGAGCCAGGCACAGGAAGAUUCACAUGGGAAGAUGUGACGAGGGGCACACUUGGUGCCUGAGCCCAGAGAAUUACUUCCAUGUAAUCAGAGAAGGUUAGUUCUAUAAGGAAAAAUAAAAACGAAUAAACAGAAUCAACUGAAGUUGUGGCUCCAGAACUCCCAGUAACAGAGAAAGUCCUGUGAGGCUCCUUAGCCUGAAAUUCCUCUUCAGGGCAGUGGGACCUAUGCACUGCCUUUAUCGGCUGCCCAGGAAUAAGAAUUAAACAGAGAUAAGAAGAGCUGAAGAAAAUAAACUGCCCAACACACCCUCAGGCCAGGAGCCAGUACCUGUUGCUGGAGAUCUCCAGAGGAAAGUAUCUUUUCUGGAGUCCCUGAUGCCAAGCACGGGGCUAGAAGUAAGAAAGAGUCUGAGAGGACAGUGUAGGGAAAGGUACCCUGGGAGAGGUGGCGCCUGCACCUCCAGAGACCCAUCUGAGGCCCAGCUGCCUUCCUGGAACAAUGAGGGCCUUGGUGACAUGACAAUUCACCCUGGGCCAGGAGAACGCCACCUGACUAUACCCUGAAGGGGUGCUUGUUCCACCAGCUCUCUGGGACCUGUUCUUCCUCUCUCCCUGAGGCCCCUCCGAUUCACCUGCUACCUCAUUCUCCAAGGAGGAAAGCUGUCAGUCAGUCAGCAGCAGCAAAGGGAGGGGGGCGGGGGGAGACACAGCCAUGAGCCAGCUACAGCCUUGGAAACUGAGGGGACUAUGACCCAGGAGGGGCCAUGGAAAGCCCAGGAGAGAGCCUUCAGCACCCUCAAAUCCUGCUGGGAAAAUCCAGCGGCACAGACGGCAAGUCAAGCCUGGAGCCUGUGGCAGUGUCACGGUAUAACAGACUCAGCUAGAAAGAGAGAAGUAAGAGGCUGCCCACCAGGAUCUGCCCCUCCCAGCCCCAGCCUACUUUCAGAGACCAGCCACAUCUGUAAGAUUCAUUUCUUCCCCAGCCCUCCCUGAAUACGUUCUGCACCUCUAGGCAUCCUUGGAGCCACCUCCAUUGUGGCUGUACCAUCAUGCACUGCCUGAAGCCACACAUACCACCACCACCACCCUGCUGGAGCCACACCCCCUGCUGGAGCCACAUCCCCUGCUGGAGCCACACCCCCUGCUGAAGCCUUCAGAAACCCUUGUGGAGUAGGGUUUGGGUGGCUGCUGUAGUAGCAACCUUAGAGGUGUUCAGCUGAGUUUCGCCCACCAUGCUACCCACUGCCACCCAUCAUUCGCCCCCUGCUCACUGAGCACAUUUCAGUUUACCACACAUCUCUAAGGAGACACUAUUGUCACCAGGGCCACUCAGUCAGAAGGGGACAGCGGAGGUUAUCUGAUUCAAGGCUGCACCGAGUUGGGAUCUCAGAAUUCCUGAAGUCCCUUCCCUCAGCCUGAGGGAACAGCGGCACCUUCUUCCAGGAGAAACUCCUCAUCUCAGCGGUUCUCAACCUGCCUAAGGCUGCAACCCUUAAAUAGCGUUCCUCAUAUAAUUACAAUAUUAUUUAUUAUACAUUAAUGAUAUUAUAAAAUUAUGUUGUAACUGCUUCAUAACUGUAAUUUGCUACUGCCAUGAAAUAUAAUGUAAAAUAUCUGAUAUGCAGAAUAUCAGAUCCGUGACUCCCCCCGCAAUAGGGUCAUGACCCACAGGUUGAGAACCACAGGGAACACAGGGAGCAUGGGAGAGAACAGUGUCCUGAGAAAGCAAGCAGCACACACAAAGGCCUGGAGGUGAGACGUAGAAGGCAGGUGACGGAGCUGCUGCAGUGGCCGGGCUCAGAGAAGGACGCAGGAAAAGGCUGGAGGGCAGUGAGCACAAGGAACAAAGAAGGCACAGCCCUGGCUCCAUCCUCAGGUGGCACAACAGCUGAGACAGGAAAACCAAGGUCCAGAGAAGAACAGCUCUUUGUCAAUGAUGUCAUCUAUCCAAAGGGACAAUGAAGCUGGGCCUGGUGUCUUGGUUAACUGCACCCCACAGCCAAAUGUGUGCUACAUCACAAGCCAGGACCUGUAGCCAAACUGUCAUCAUUCAUAAGGCCACCACCAGGCAAGCUCUGGAAUCCCUGUGGCCUGGCCAGGACCAUCUAGUGGGCCUGAAGCCUGGGAGGCUGGGUGAUAGCAGCUCUUCACUGAGUGGGAUGGAUAGAUGGCGGCAGACAGCUAAGGCAAGGGAAAAGCGGGUGAGUACGGAGAGGGUGCUUCCUGAUCCAAUCUCCCACAAAACAGUCAGCACUCCAGGAGCUGGGGCAGUCGGGAGUCUCACACAUCUCAGGGUGAGAAAUGGAGGCCUGGGGGGACCUGUGCAGGCUCCGUGGCUGCAUGCCUGAAUGCACACUGAAGCAAUUGUACUUAAACACACUGUUCCUUACCCCCUCUGAGCUUCUACAAGGUGUAGAUGGCUCAGGCCUCCCAGGCUCAACCAUCUUAUAGACUGAGGAGCACCGGCAGUGAGAGGCACAUGGCCCGGGCUAGCUGCCUGGAGUUCCCGAAUGCUUGACAAGUGUGAAUAGGUGCUGUGUUUGAUGGUCCAGGAGCAAAGGCCUGGCCAGAGACCAGAAUCCCCACCUCUGCUCCCAGACGCCAGAAAGCAACAGGAAACCCAGGCCUACGUGAACCCACAGGCUGGAGUCCCACCCAACUUCCCCUGGCUGGAGCCCUAGGGCGACAGACCCUUCCUCCGCUUUGAAGGCACCUUGGGAACUGAAGCUCCAGUGAGCUUCCCUUCCCUAGCCCGCCAGCUGUGGGCCAAGAGCCCUCCCUGAAGAUAAAGAUUAAGACCUCAGUGUGAGUUCCAGAGCCAAGGACAAGCUGUAUGACUUGAGAGUCGGGUUACCUCUCUGAGCACUGGUGGUGACCUCUGUAGCGUGGGGUCUGUCCCACCUUUUAUUUGUGUUUGUUGAGACAGGGUCUCACUAUGCAGCAUUAGCGGGACUGAAACUCACUGUGUAGACCAGGCUGGUCUCAAACUCAAAGACAUCCUUUUGCCUCUGCCUCCCAACUGCUGUGAUUAAAGGCACGCCCCACCGUACCCC
ensembl:antisense Lrp8os2 low density lipoprotein receptor-related protein 8, apolipoprotein e receptor, opposite strand 2